rnacentral:rRNA from 1 species
GGAAACCGGGGCUAAUACCGGAUGGUUGUUUGAACCGCAUGGUUCAAACAUAAAAGGUGGCUUCGGCUACCACUUACAAAUGGACCCGCGGCGCAUUAGCUAGUUGGUGAGGUAACGGCUCACCAAGGCAACGAUGCGUAGCCGACCUGAGAGGGUGAUCGGCCACACUGGGACUGAGACACGGCCCAGACUCCUACGGGAGGCAGCAGUAGGGAAUCUUCCGCAAUGGACGAAAGUCUGACGGAGCAACGCCGCGUGAGUGAUGAAGGUUUUCGGAUCGUAAAGCUCUGUUGUUAGGGAAGAACAAGUACCGUUCGAAUAGGGCGGUACCUUGACGGUACCUAACCAGAAAGCCACGGCUAACUACGUGCCAGCAGCCGCGGUAAUACGUAGGUGGCAAGCGUUGUCCGGAAUUAUUGGGCGUAAAGGGCUCGCAGGCGGUUUCUUAAGUCUGAUGUGAAAGCCCCCGGCUCAACCGGGGAGGGUCAUUGGAAACUGGGGAACUUGAGUGCAGAAGAGGAGAGUGGAAUUCCACGUGUAGCGGUGAAAUGCGUAGAGAUGUGGAGGAACACCAGUGGCGAAGGCGACUCUCUGGUCUGUAACUGACGCUGAGGAGCGAAAGCGUGGGGAGCGAACAGGAUUAGAUACCCUGGUAGUCCACGCCGUAAACGAUGAGUGCUAAGUGUUAGGGGGUUUCCGCCCCUUAGUGCUGCAGCUAACGCAUUAAGCACUCCGCCUGGGGAGUACGGUCGCAAGACUGAAACUCAAAGGAAUUGACGGGGGCCCGCACAAGCGGUGGAGCAUGUGGUUUAAUUCGAAGCAACGCGAAGAACCUUACCAGGUCUUGACAUCCUCUGACAAUCCUAGAGAUAGGACAUCCCCUUCCGGGGCAGAGGGACAGGUGGCGCAUGGAUAGUCGU